AAGGCCUACGGGAGGCAGCAGUGAGGAAUAUUGGUCAAUGGACGCAAGUCUGAACCAGCCAAGUAGCGUGCAGGAUGACGGCCCUCCGGGUUGUAAACUGCUUUUAGUUGGGAAUAAAAGGGGGCUCGUGAGCCCCGUAUUGUAUGUACCAUCAGAAAAAGGACCGGCUAAUUCCGUGCCAGCAGCCGCGGUAAUACGGAAGGUCCGGGCGUUAUCCGGCUUUAUUGGGUUUAAAGGGAGCGUAGGCCGGGUUUUAAGCGUUCCGUGAAAUGUCGGGGCUCAACCUUGACACUGCGGCGCGAACU
rnacentral:rRNA from 1 species